UGGGGCGUGGCCAAGUGGUAAGGCACCGGGUUUUGAUCCCGCUAUUCGGAGGUUCGAAUCCUUCCGUCCCAG
rnacentral:tRNA from 1 species